rfam:Nitrospira sp. HN-bin3 contig1260, whole genome shotgun sequence.
GGGCAGGUACCCAAGUGGCCAAAGGGGGCAGACUGUAAAUCUGCUGGCUUAUGUCUUCCAAGGUUCGAAUCCUUGCCUGCCCA